rnacentral:misc_RNA from 1 species
GUUUAACCAAAAUCCGAUUCAAUCCAGGCACCCAAUAUAAGUUCAAGCAACCUAAUGGCAGCAUAGAACAUUAGAUUCAAUGGAUCACAAGAUACGGGGAAAAAUAUAGGGAUGAAAAUUAUUAUUUAUUUAGGUGUUUAUUGACAGGAACAUUAAAUCUAUUCUUUCUUGGCAUGUGCAAGAAGUCUGGCAAAGAAUAGUCCAAUCUCCUUACCCCUUGUUGGCUAUGGAUAUAGAAGUCAUAGCAAACUCAU